rnacentral:rRNA from 1 species
GGAGCCAUCCUUGGGAUACCACCCUUGUAGUACUGGGACUCUAACCAUAGGCCAUGAAUCUGGUCUUGGGACACUGUCAGGUGGGCAGUUUGACUGGGGCGGUCGCCUCCCAAAAGGUAACGGAGGCGCUCAAAGGUUCUCUCAGUACGGUCGGCAAUCGUACGUAGAGUGUAAAGGCAAAAGAGAGCUUGAUUGCAAGACAUACAGGUCGAGCAAGGAUGAAAAUCGGACUUAGUGAUCCGGUGGUUCUGCGUGGAAGGGCCAUCGCUCAACGGAUAAAAGCUACCCUGGGGAUAACAGGCUUAUCUCCCCCAAGAGUCCACAUCGACGGGGAGGUUUGGCACCUCGAUGUCGGCUCAUCACAUCCUGGGGCUGUAGUAGGUCCCAAGGGUUGGGCUGUUCGCCCAUUAAAGUGGUACGCGAGCUGGGUUCAGAACGUCGUGAGACAGUUCGGUCCCUAUCCGUCGCAGGCGUAGGAAAUUUGAGAAGACCUGUCCUUAGUACGAGAGGACCGGGAUGGACGUACCUCUGGUGUACCAGUUGUUCUGCCAAGGGCAUGGCUGGGUAGCUAUGUACGGAAUGGAUAAGCGCUGAAAGCAUCUAAGCGCGAAGCCAACUUCAAGAUAAGAUUUCCCACCG